CUUCGUGUUCUUUCUAAAUCUCCGUGUUUUGCCACUAUUCUCUUUAUUUUCUCCUCUUUCUUUCAUCUCUCCUUCAACUGUUAUGAUUUUUUCUGAUUUGUAGGAUUAAGUAGAAUCAAGUGGUAGACUUGACAUAAAAAUCCUAUAAGUUGAGGUUUAGAAACAUGGCUUAGCUAUCUCCACGCAACAUGCCGUUUGGAAGUCUCUGCCAACUUUAAUAUUGUCGAUGGUUAACUAGCUGGAAUCUUUCUGAUCAAUUCAAUUUGGAUGUAUCCCAGUUGUAAGCAGUUGAAGACAAAGAUAACAUAGUUAUGGUCUACUGCUAAUUGCUUAGCGGUAAAUACAUCUGACAUUCAACCUAUCUUUGUACACAACAUUACAACUCAACAAAAGAAAUAAAGUGCUGGAAGUGCGUGCAGAAGAUAUGGUACUAUCCAAGGUGUCGCACUGGCUUUCAAUGGAGUUCAACAAAAUCGCUAGCAGGCCAGACACAUAGUGAUACCAUACAUGCCAAUGUUAGUACCUCCAUUGAAAUGGAUAGGGACGCAAGAUAUAGUAAUACCAUACAUUUUCUUUCACUUACAUAAAGUUAAGGGUACGCUUUCUUUUUAUUUUCUCUCAUAACAAGGCUGGAUAACUCUAUCUGCUUUCAUAUGUGCUGCAGACACAUGGAGCAAGAAAACAACGUAAAGCGGUGAAAAGAGGCCCUAGAAAAUGGCUCUUGAUACUCUGGGAUGUAGCAAAUGGAGGAUAAACAAAAGGGUAGUUUCUGUUUUUGAUAGAAUAUGGGAUAGUGGUGGUCGUCUACUGAUUGGUUAGUUACUUUACACAUUAACUAUCCUAUUAAGAUUCAAAAGUUUCUGUCAUUUGCAGGUCCUUUGCCAAAAGAACCAGAUAUAGAAGAUGAUGCACUACUCGCGAAGUGGAAUUGGAUACCAAAAUCUGUCAAGAGGAGACUAGAUAAACUUCUCACAACAUUGUGACGUCGAGCUCAAACUUCUUGGUCUUGAAUGCUCAAGUGACUGGCUUUCUCAUUGGAGUGAAAGACUACAAGAUCUUUGACCAAGAGACUAAAUCUGUUGAAGGGACCUUGAGACUUGCAUAUUGGAUCAUGUCAAAUUCGUGUGUAGAGCAGUGUCAACAAAAAGACCUCAAGCAAGAAAUGUUGACAUCUAGCCACUUAUCCUACUCUGUCUGUGAACUUGUGCAUAACUAAUAUAGUUGUUAGUUGUCACCCAUGGAUUAUAAAAUAACAUCAGUUUGAUACGGCAUAAAUAGAUUAGGAUCCAGUAGGGCUGGAACACUAGGUAUUUCCUAGUGCUCAAGAUUUUGAGUCUUUUGGCUAUGGUUAUUAGGCCAAGCGAGUUGCUUUUCUUCCAUAUCUCUGGUUAGUUUUUUCCUAUUAACCAA